rnacentral:rRNA from 2 species
UACAGAGGGUGCGAGCGUUGUCCGGAAUCACUGGGCGUAAAGGGCGCGUAGGCGGUCCAGUAAGCGUGUGGUGAAAGCCCGGGGCUCAACCCCGGGUCGGCCGUGCGAACUGCGGGACUCGAGCACUGUAGAGGCAGGCGGAAUUCCGGGUGUAGCGGUGGAAUGCGUAGAGAUCCGGAAGAACACCGGUGGCGAAGGCGGCCUGCUGGGCAGUGGCUGACGCUGAGGCGCGACAGCGUGGGGAGCAAACAGG